CCUACGGGAGGCAGCAGUGAGGAAUAUUGGUCAAUGGGCUUACGCCUGAACCAGCCAAGUCGCGUGAGGGAAGACUGCCCUAUGGGUUGUAAACCUCUUUUGUCAGGGAGCAAUUGGCGCUACGUGUAGCGUUAUCGAGAGUACCUGAAGAAAAAGCAUCGGCUAACUCCGUGCCAGCAGCCGCGGUAAUACGGAGGAUGCGAGCGUUAUCCGGAUUUAUUGGGUUUAAAGGGUGCGUAGGCGGAAUGCCAAGUCAGCGGUAAAAUCGCGGGGCUCAACCUCGCUCCGCCGUUGAAACUGGCGGUCUUGAGUGGGAGAGAAGUAUGCGGAAUGCGUGGUGUAGCGGUGAAAUGCAUAGAUAUCACGCAGAACUCCGAUUGCGAAGGCAGCAUACCGGCGCCAAACUGACGCUGAAGCACGAAAGCGUGGGUAUCGAACAGGAUUAGAUACCCGGGUAGUC
rnacentral:rRNA from 1 species